GCGCCAGUAGCUCAGCUGGAUAGAGCAUCUGACUACGAAUCAGAAGGCCGGGAGUUCGACUCUCUCCUGGCGCA
rnacentral:tRNA from 1 species